GGCAAGAUGGCCGAGUGGUUAUGGCGUGUGACUCAAGCGCAAGCUUCAUCAACUAAGUUGGUGUGUUCUCAUGGGCUUAGCCCGCGGGGGUUCGAAUCCCCCUCUUGUCA